AGUGGCGGACGGGUGAGUAACACGUGGGUAACCUGCCCUUAAGUGGGGGAUAACAUUUGGAAACAGAUGCUAAUACCGCAUAGAUCCAAGAACCGCAUGGUUCUUGGCUGAAAGAUGGCGUAAGCUAUCGCUUUUGGAUGGACCCGCGGCGUAUUAGCUAGUUGGUGAGGUAAUGGCUCACCAAGGCAAUGAUACGUAGCCGAACUGAGAGGUUGAUCGGCCACAUUGGGACUGAGACACGGCCCAAACUCCUACGGGAGGCAGCAGUAGGGAAUCUUCCACAAUGGACGCAAGUCUGAUGGAGCAACGCCGCGUGAGUGAGGAAGGCUUUUCGGGUCGUAAAACUCUGUUGUUGGAGAAGAAUGGUCGGCAGAGUAACUGUUGUCGGCGUGACGGUAUCCAACCAGAAAGCCACGGCUAACUACGUGCCAGCAGCCGCGGUAAUACGUAGGUGGCAAGCGUUAUCCGGAUUUAUUGGGCGUAAAGCGAGCGCAGGCGGUUUUUUAAGUCUGAUGUGAAAGCCCUCGGCUUAACCGAGGAAGCGCAUCGGAAACUGGGAAACUUGAGUGCAGAAGAGGACAGUGGAACUCCAUGUGUAGCGGUGAAAUGCGUAGAUAUAUGGAAGAACACCAGUGGCGAAGGCGGCUGUCUGGUCUGUAACUGACG
rnacentral:rRNA from 1 species